rnacentral:rRNA from 1 species
CCUACGGGGGGCAGCAGUAGGGAAUCUUCCACAAUGGGCGAAAGCCUGAUGGAGCAACGCCGCGUGGGUGAAGAAGGUCUUCGGAUCGUAAAACCCUGUUGUUAGAGAAGAAAGUGCGUGAGAGUAACUCUUCACGUUUCGACGGUAUCUAACCAGAAAGCCACGGCUAACCACGUGCCAGCAGCCGCGGUAAUACGUAGGUGGCAAGCGUUAUCCGGAUUUAUUGGGCGUAAAGGGAACGCAGGCGGUCUUUUAAGUCUGAUGUGAAAGCCUUGGGCUUAACCGGAGUAGUGCAUUGGAAACUGGGAGACGUGAGGUCAGAAGAGGAGAGUGGAACUCCAUGUGUAGCGGUGAAAUGCGUAGAUAUAUGGAAGAACACCAGGGGCGAAGGCGGCUCUCUGGUCUGUAACUGACGCUGAGGUUCGAAAGCGUGGGUAGCAAACAGGAUUAGAUACCCCUGUAGUC